rnacentral:rRNA from 1 species
CGCCCUUACGGCGAGGCAGCAGCAAGGAAUUUUCCCCAAUGGCGCAGCGAAGCCUGAGGGCGCAACGCCGAGUGGAGGACGACGGCCUUCGGGUUGUAAACUCCUUUCGGGUGGGACGACCCCGACGGUACCACCAGAAGCAGCCCCGGCUAACUCUGUGCCAGCAGCCGCGGUAAGACAGAGGGGGCAAGCGUUGUCCGGAGUUACUGGGCGUAAAGGGCGCGGAGGCGGUCUGCGGCGUCGGCGCUGAAAGCCCCCGCGUUAACGGGGGCGAGGCGUGCCGAUACGCGCAGACUUGCAGGCGAGCAGGAGGGUGGUGGAACUUCCCGGGUGGCAGCGGUGAACAUGCGUAGAAGAUCCCGAGGAACGCCAUGGGGAAAGCGCGGCCACCUGGGCUCGUCCUGACGGUGCGGCGCGACCACGUGGGGGAGGCAAAACCCUCGAUUUACGAGUACCCCCGUUAGACGUUCCAACGGACUGUAAGACGUUUCCAGCUCGGCGUUGUGGCGACGGUCGGCGUUGCGUUUGCCUUAAGUUCAACGGGCAUAAAGCUGACCCGCCCUGUGGCCCUACGAGCCCAAUUUGAAACGUUCAAAGAAUUUACGUGGGCCCGAAACGCAGCGGUGUGUGGGUUUAUUUGCG